rnacentral:RNase_P_RNA from 1 species
GGGAGUGAUCUUUCGGAGAAAAGGGCAACAGAAAGAUACCGCCUCAUUGUUGAAUAAACAGUGCGGUAAGGGUGAAAUGGUAGUGUAAGAGACUACCUGCAAUAUCAGUAAUGGGAUUGUGAAAUGUAACCCCCACCCGAAGCAACCGAUCCGCUCUUUGAGCGGCAGGGCAAAGAUAGAUGGCUGUUUAAACAGAAUCCGGCUUAUGAGGUGCUUGCUUUU